rnacentral:rRNA from 1 species
CCUACGGGGGGCAGCAGUGAGGAAUAUUGGUCAAUGGACGCAAGUCUGAACCAGCCAUGCCGCGUGCAGGAAGACGGCUCUAUGAGUUGUAAACUGCUUUUGUACGAGGGUAAACGCAGAUACGCGUAUCUUUCUGAAAGUAUCGUACGAAUAAGGAUCGGCUAACUCCGUGCCAGCAGCCGCGGUAAUACGGAGGAUUCAAGCGUUAUCCGGAUUUAUUGGGUUUAAAGGGUGCGUAGGCGGUCGGAUAAGUUAGAGGUGAAAUCCCGAGGCUCAACUUCGGAAUUGCCUUUGAUACUGUUCGGCUAGAGAGAAGGAGCGGUAGGCGGAAUGUAUGGUGUAGCGGUGAAAUGCUUAGAGAUCAUACAGAACACCGAUUGCGAAGGCAGCUUACCAGGCUACUUCUGACGUUGAGGCACGAAAGCGUGGGGAGCAAACAGGAUUAGAUACCCGUGUAGUC